CACACACGCACAGGGAGUGAGGCCAGAGGAGGAAAAGAAGACGAGUGACAUUGUUUGUGUGGAGUGUUGGAAACUGCAUGAAAAACUUCACGUCCUGCUGAUUUGAACAUCGUAGAUGCCCAUUGAUAUCAACAUCUCUUCUACCUGAGACUCGCCGGUCGAGGGCGAUGAAGUCGGCUGAGGCAACAUCAUCAACAGCGCGUCUCCGGAGACGCGAGGCAGUCUGGCAUAGCAACUGGAAAACAAGAACCUCUGCUAUUUCUCCGAGAAAUCCCAGAAGAGAAGCUCCGUCUUCAACUCUGUUAAAGUGUGCGAGCAUCAAAUCUGAAGGCAGCUACUGCUUGUUCUGCGAGGGAGGCCUCGGAGAUUUAGCCGAGGAGAGGAAUGUGCUGCGCUCAUAAACCAGAGGUCAUAUGUUUGCAUCCAUGACUUAAGUUUAUGAUCAAUAUUUGAAGAUCAAAUGAACUCAAGAGCAACACGGAUGCCAGAAGACAGAAGACUCGUUCUUUUCAUGUUCUUUUCAUCUUUGAGUAAAAUGUUCGCUCUAUAUGACUUAAAUUACAAUAUAUUAGACCCCACGCUGAUUUUUAGAUGUCGGCAUAAAACAGUACAAGUUUUAAACCCUCGAGUUUUCUGAAACUGAGAGUUUUAUGAAUACAACAUGAGGAGGGCAUUCAGAUGCACUCCUCUCCUCAACGCUUUAAAUAAGAACUUUCCAAAAAAAAGUCAAAUUCGACGCUCACAAGACGGAAGAGUUCCACGCAAACCCUUUGCAGAGAUGAACCCGCACCUCGACCGUUUGUGACCAUGAAGACCAGACACACACAUGCUCUUGGCAGCAGCUGUUUUCAGUGGAUGAGAAUGAUUAGAAUUCAUGAAAACAAAUUAGUUCACAGAGGAAGUCUACAUAAUGGAAAAGCACACAGGAUCGGUCUCAGGAAGCUCAAAAUGGACAAGAUUCAAGACCAGAACAGAGACGAAGACCACAGUGCUGUAUGUUUUCUGUGUAUUGAUGUGCUCACUAAAGCACUCUCGCAGCCAAAGGUGACCUGAGGAAGAUGUGCACUGGCUGGCUCCUGUGUGAGAAAUGGGCCGGGCUGACACGCGUCAGCCAUGAUAAAUGAGCAGGUGUGUGCGUUGGUGUUAAGUAAAUGGAGUCAUUAUUAAUGACCUCAGUGCUCUCUGUGUGUUGCCAGGAUCACUGAUGACUUCCAGGCCCCUGGCUUCAGUAAAAGGGGAUGUUGUGACUCUGCGGGUCAGGGAAGGACGCGCAGCCUCGGGGCCAGAC